rnacentral:rRNA from 1 species
GUCGAGCGGUAACAUUUCUAGCUUGCUAGAAGAUGACGAGCGGCGGACGGGUGAGUAAUGCUUGGGAAUAUGCCUUAGGGUGGGGGACAACAGUUGGAAACGACUGCUAAUACCGCAUAACGUCUACGGACCAAAGGGGGCUUCGGCUCUCGCCCUUAGAUUAGCCCAAGUGGGAUUAGCUAGUUGGUGAGGUAAUGGCUCACCAAGGCGACGAUCCCUAGCUGGCUUGAGAGGAUGAUCAGCCACACUGGAACUGAGACACGGUCCAGACUCCUACGGGAGGCAGCAGUGGGGAAUAUUGCACAAUGGGCGCAAGCCUGAUGCAGCCAUGCCGCGUGUGUGAAGAAGGCCUUAGGGUUGUAAAGCACUUUCAGUAAGGAGGAAAGGUUAGUAGUUAAUACCUGCUGGCUGUGACGUUACUUACAGAAGAAGCACCGGCUAACUCCGUGCCAGCAGCCGCGGUAAUACGGAGGGUGCGAGCGUUAAUCGGAAUUACUGGGCGUAAAGCGUACGCAGGCGGUUUGUUAAGCGAGAUGUGAAAGCCCCGGGCUCAACCUGGGAACUGCAUUUCGAACUGGCAAACUAGAGUAUGAUAGAGGGUGGUAGAAUUUCAGGGUGUAGCGGUGAAAUGC